rnacentral:tRNA from 1 species
GGUUGUGGCUCAAUGGUAGAGCACUUGCUUAGGAUGUGUGAGGCCCUGGGUUCGAUCCUCAUCACCA